AAAACAGAGCAUGUUCUUUGUCUUCUUUUCAGUACCAAGAAACCAAACUUCUGCACCAAGAAUCAACCCAGUUGGAAAUGAGAACCAAGCUUUAAAUAAUAAUUAUCAUAACAUGAAUAAUGUACCAAGAAACAGAGGAUUCAAUUUGGGAAGAAACUUGGACAAUCUGUACAUGAACUGACCGCCCCAGAACAUGAUUUUUGAACCAAGAAGCAUAUGGGAAAAUGAUCCAAGAAACAUACCCAUUCAGAAUCUGAAUGCUGGAAACAGAGUGAGGGCUCAAAGACUAGAGACAACACAAGGUUUUAUGAAAACUAUAGCCUGUACGCCACAUUUUCAAGUUGCCACCCGGAAGUGACGUACACUGAUGUUAGAAACUUUUCCGGUGGACGUUUCCCAACAGUAUAGUGCAUCGGAUCAAAAUGGACCGUGAUCGUCCCGCUCUGCACGCUUGGAUUGAGUUCUAUAAUCCGGGAGCUGUCAAUGCAAUUCUGGGAUACAGAGUUUAUUCUAAGAGCUUUCGCAUGUGUGGGAUACAGAGUUUAAUCUGGCUUAAAAGGUUUAACACAGCCUCCAUGUGAGAAGCUAGAGCUUGAAGGCUCCUGUAUAUACUGUGAUGUGA